GGCACUAUGGCCGAGUGGUUAAGGCGACAGAUUCGAAUCAACGCUUAUCUGUUCCGGUUUCCGGGCGCAGGUUCAAGUCCUGCUGGUGUCG